CUGUAAACGCACAGGGAAAGUGCUGUGGUGGUGACGUUAUAAAGAGCGAAAAAGACGCACCGGAUGGGCUGGAGGAGAGUUGGAUCGGUCCAUCAAACACAAGGUUUUCAUCCAGGAGGCCGCAGUUCGUGUCCCGUACGUUACGUGGCUUUGUUGGCAGUUACUUGUCAAUCAAACAAAACAUGGGUGGCAUUUGUCAUGAAAUUUCUUUUGUUCAUAUUUGAGAGUCAGAAUGAAUCUGUGUGUGAUCAGUCAUGGUGUCUAUGGCUGCUGGUGCUAAAUAUUAGGCUCUUUGUUCAUCUCUAAACUGAUAUGAUGAAAUUUGAAAUGAAGAAAAAGGCUGAGUGUCUUCAACGACGCAGGAUUUUUCCAGGGAAAGACCUACCCAAUACCAGGAACCUCGACUGAGUAAGCUGUCUUUACUCGCCUUUGCCCAUCAAAGGAUUAUUAUGUCAAUUUUAAGGUAAGUGUGAAGUUGUAAAUUCCCAGUUUAAUUUGUAUUUACGCAUAGAAGACCAAUUUUAUUACAAGAAUCUGUUCAAUCUUUUAAAAGACUUACCACUUAUUUGCAAGCUAGUCUAGGGGUUGUUCAAGUCUAUAAAAUGUGAACGUGUUAACAAACUCUUCCCUCAUCUCAGCUGUUUAAAGCUUCUCAGGUUUGGGACUAAAUCCAUUGACACAGGAUCUGAUGCAGGUUCCACUGCUGGUGUCAGUGUCGUUCAGGUCUAUAAAACGUUAACUGUUUAUAAACUUGCUUCUAUUUUCGGCUCUUUAAAACUGUUUUUUUUCUUGUCUGUCCUCCAUAAAGCCAGUCACAUGAUUGGACGAUAGCGAUUCUGCAUGCUGUGGCACGGCUGUGUGUCACUGUGUAAUUUUAGUUCAACAAUAAAAAAAUGCGACUGCUGUCAAAGGAAUUUACAGGCUGUUGUUGUCAGUGAUUGGUGGUGCCUCAUUCCUUUUUUAAGCUGGUUUUAUGAGGUCAUAUGUUCUCUAGAUCCUUGGCCAAAUGCUGAUAGCUGGUCAUAACUUCUCUGAAGUCUGGGUUAGCCACAAGGGCAUCAAUGUGUGUACUGAAAAAGUUUUUUUUUAUAGUAAUUUAGAUGAAUAUUUUUGACUGUGUGCUUGUGACUAUGUCUUCCUGGCUGUAGGCGUAUGCAUGUUCUUGGGUUGGACAGAUCUGUAAAUUGAUCAAUUGCCGCACUCAUGAUAUGAGAGAAGUGACGUAAUGUUUUAUUUCAAGCAGCGUAGGACAUAAAAACCUCCAAUAA